ensembl:lncRNA
GAGAGAGACAGAGGCAGAGAGAUAGAAAUGAGCAGAGACAGAAAAAUAGAAGGGAUCAGGGAGAGAGGGAGAGGGAGAAGGAGUUUUGAUUAUUUGAACAAUGAGCAUAUAUAUUUGCUAGGGCUUCUCCAAGUAUCACAAGGAAACAAAGCAGUGUAGAUAGCGACUGGCUGGGUAAGUCAGGCAAUACAUUAUCCCGGGGACUGAAAAGAAGCCAUUCCCCAGAGAGGAAGAACUGCAGGAGAGGCAGAAGAAAAAGUCUCCCCCUCCCAAGGGAGAGGAAUAAAGGUGACUGACAGUCACUACCCAAGGAGCAGGAAGCACAGUCACGCUGCGUAGCUUCUCCCUGUCCUCCCAAGUCUGCAAAUUCGCUGAGACUAGAGACUGUUAUUUCUCUUCUCUGCGCUUGUCUAGCCCAGAGUAGACUGGUGAGGCGUAUGGGCUGAAGACUGAUGCCGACUGAAUGCUGAUGCAAGGGAGGCCCCCCACCCCCUGCCCCCAACGCGUGGUCACAGUGGCCACCUUGUGGCCUUGACACUAAACUGCAGCGGCUUUGCUGAGAACAAUGGGGGGUGCGGGGAGGUUUUUGAUUCCGUGGGAAAAGUUCGUGUCGUUUGCCAGUGGAGAGCACCCAAACUAAAGUUGCAUAAAGCCAAAUCCUGGCUUUGGCUUGUGAUUCAGUCACUUUCCUGGCCUUUUCCUAUGUGGCUGUGGAGCAGGGAGGAGAGAAACAUGAAGAAAUAUGAAAAAACCAAGACCGAAGAGAUCCUUUUCUGUCUGUUAUUGUGAGCAAGGAGCGAUCCAAUCACCUGACUUUAACUUUUCCUUUGGCUUUCUACUCCCAGCAUUCACAACUGAUACCCAUCAAUUAUUCCUUAAGUAUCCCUUAAGCACAUAAUUUGGGCUAUCUUUCUGUCAGUGUCCAGCAGCAACUCAGGGAAGGGAAGAUCCCUCUCCUUAUUGCUCACCUUCCAUCUGAGUGAGCAAAGUAUUGUUCAAAUAAUCAUAGAAUUUAGAAUUAAUGGAAACCAAACUAAGAAAUUUGAGUCAUCCCAUGGCACAUAAAGCAGUCUUAAACCCUAGUUCUCUAAUAAUCUUUCUAUUGAUCUGUCUUGCCUCUUCAAAAAUCAAAUAUACCAUUGUGGGGAUCAUGGAAGCCUGUCAUUGGAUAGAAAAACAAGAAACAGAGAAUUCCAUUUCUUUGGUAAUUGGUGUUCUCUCCUUGAUCCUCAGGAGUGGUUAAAAAUAGCUGGAGGUGACUCUGUGAACUAAACUAGCAGUGUACCUGGAAGUGUGACUUUUCUUAUUUAAUCCUUUUCAUCCUGUUUUCACCACUGACUUGCCAAAAGACUUUGGAUGAGUUAUUAUUCUCUGUUAGUGUCAGUGACCUGAGACAUAAAAUAGGUUACUGUUUUAUCCUUGCCAAUCUACCUUAACAAGGGAUAUUAAGGAACAGUAAGCAGGAGGAAUUUGAUAGUACUCUGCAAAUACAAGAACUAAAAUCAAAACCUGGAUAUUACUUUGUGGUUUUGGAAAACCUAAAAGGGUAAUAUAAAUAUCCUGAAUAUGUGUGUGUGUGUGUGUGUGUACGUGUUCUAGCAUUAGAUAAAUCUGAUGAAUUUGCUUGCUCAAAACAGUAAUUCCGAUGUUAUUUUAUCUUUAUGGUUAUGCCCAAUUCUUCAUGAUCCCAUUGGGACAUUUCCUUAACUGUAUGAUCCUAAGCAAAUCAUUUAAUCCUGUUUGCCUCAGUUUCCUCAUCUGUAAAAUGAGCUUGAGAAGAAAAUGGCAAACCACCCUAAGUAUCUUUGCCAAGAAAAUCUCAGAUGGAGUCAUAAAUAGUCAGGGAUGACUGAAACAAACACAGCCUUUCUCCACAGCUUUGGAACCAAAGCUGUUCUCUUGGCCAAAAUUAGGUUGAGGAUGGAGCAUUUGCUGAUGCUGAGAAGAAUAGCUUUCAGGCCGCUAACAGCCAGCAUGACUAGGCUCAGUCCCUUGGGAAUUUUAAUGUUGUAUCUUUUAUUUUCAAUUCCAUUCAGUAAAUGUACUCUAAUAUAACAUGUGAGUGUAAUCACAGAAUCGCAGGC